rnacentral:tRNA from 1 species
UUAAUUGAAGCCAAAAAGAGGCAUACCAUUGUUAAUGGUAAUACUGAAUGAUAAUCCAAUUAAG